CUUAGCUUUCAGCAUCACAGCAACACUCAGCCACCACAGUGUGACAACUGACAGACGGGUGGUGUGGUCUCUGACCAGGAAAUGAACCCUGGCCGCAGCAGUGAGAGCGCGGAAUCUUAACCACUAGACCGUGCGGGCUGGCCUCACCAUUUCUUAAUUGUCUAAUAAAAAUGUUUUAUUGUCUUAAAAUUUUUAACAGUUUUUUUGAAUCCAGAUUCAAAUAAGGUUCAAACAUUGGCAUUGGUUAAUGUGUCCCUUUAGUCUGCUUUUUAGAGAUUCCAUUUCCAUCCUUUGUUUCCUUUGUUCCUUGCAAUUUUGAUUUUGAUGAACCAGACUGUUUCAUCCUGUAGAGUUUCCCACAAUCUAUAUUUCGAGACGUGCCCCUCUGGGAAGUUGUUUAGUAAGUUCCUCUGCUUGCUGAAGCCUGAUCAGAUUCUGGGCAGAAUCUUCUUCGGCAAGAGUUCUUCAGAGGUGUUACUGGACGCUUCCGUCCGGGAUGCGUAAUGUCUGAUUGUCUAGCUUUGUGUGAUUUGCAGUCAUUGAUAAUUAUUGCAUAGCUCUGUUAACUAAGCAGGUUUGAAAAUUAUUGUAUUCUAUUUCUUCAUUGCUAGUAAUUUAAAUAAUUCUGUACAGAUAAUCUCCAUCAACUACUUGGGUGGGUACAGUUUGUGCAGGAAAUACAGAAUGAGUGCUUAGUACCGUUCCAUUAUUAAUAGUUUUCUUUUUCUAAUAAUUAUUGAUAUCUCUAGCCAAUUUUUCUGUGAUGAUUGACCUUUUUAUUCUCUCUUUUAGAAAAUUUAUGUACUUUGGUUAUUACCCCGUCUGACAUUUAAGUUGCAAAUAUUUUUUUCCCAUUUUGUCUUUGAUCUUUUUACUUGAUUUAUGGUAGUUCCUGACGGAGGCCACCAUUUUUAACUCAUUUAGUAGAUUUAUUUGCUGUUAACCUCCAUAUUUCUAAAUAACAAACAUAUACUGUUAUUUCUGAAUUUUUUGGUUUUAAGCACUGUCUAUUGGCCUUCCUUUUGGUAGAAGAGCGUACAGCGCCCUUUGAUCACAGACCCACUGCUCACAUACAUGCUUUCUGCACGACCAUCUUCCAAAAAUAGUAAUGGCAAUAGCGACUUGUGGUUCCCCAUCUGAGACUGACUUUGUAUGAACUAAAAGUUGAAUCUUUAGGGAAUAAUAAAGAUUUUUAAAGCCUCCUGUCAAAUAUUGAAAAAUUUAAAAAAGACAUGAUUCAUAGUCAAAUAAUUUAAUCUAAUCCUUUACAAAAGGAUUCGCUUCUCUGGAUUUAAAUGUUGGUUUCUACAUUACUAACUAGUGGACUAAGAGGCAGAGAAGUCAAAAUUGAAAUUGUUAGGUGGCAUUUCAAUUAAAGAAGAAAGAAUAUAUUUUCACACAUUCAACUUGAACACCACGUUUUCAGGAAUAGACCUAUCACAAAAAAUAAAACUUGUUUUUAGAAUAUGUAUUUAUCAGUAUCUCUUCUCUUAAUAAUCGUCCAUUUUGCCAAAAAGGUGAACCCCAAAUCCUUCCUGCAUUCUUGUGGGCCAUUGAAAAAAAUGAGGAUGUGUGUCCGUCUUGUGCCACCCCAUGACCUGGGCGGAAGAAAGGGGACGAGGGCAUUUUCCUCCAGCGGCCUCUGGGUGCCCGGCCUGCGGCAGCCUCUGCUUGGGACUCAGAACCCUCUCAGUUUGCUGGGAGCAGGCCUUGGUGUCACCACUGUCCUCUGUUAAGUGGAUUUAACCCUGAGAUUGAUGGAGAGCCAGCAGAGGAAAGUCCAACUGAAAGCCAAAGAUGCAAGUGAGGUUCUCAGCAUCACAGGUGCGGGAGGGGAGAGCCUGACCGGCCCGAAGUCUCCCCGGGUGCCCUUUCCUCCCCUUCCGAACAGCGCUCCCUCAGGGCACUGCUUCUCUAGCCUGCUGCACGGGAGACGCUCCUGACCAGUUGUACAAGGCACAGACCCCACUGCGGAGGCUCUGAUCCACCGCCGUGUGCUGUCUCAUCAGUGCAGCUAGUAAAGCCGAGCGGUGCCGGCACGCUCCAUAAACUCGUGUCAAACGUUAACUCAGAGCUAAUGGGCACAAAGGAAUAAACGCAUUAUCUCCGCCAGCUAACGUUGCCUUAUUCUUUUCAAAUUUAUUGUAGAAACUUUUCGACAUUCAUAAAAGUAGAGAAAAUAGUAUAAUAAUUUGUAUAGUAUAUAAUUUGCCUUUUGACAGAGGUGUUCUGGAGAGGAGAUGAGAGAAGGGACCCUGCUGCUGCUCAGAAUUCCAGGAGCCAGGGUCAGGGGGUCUGCGUGCCGCGUCAGGGAGCCUCUCCAAGGCAGCCCACGGGACAGUGGCUGCGAGAGACGCAGGUGAAGGGACCCAGUGCCCAGGCUCCCAGCGGCCAAGAACAGAGCAGGCAGCUGAAGAGGAGUGGCCCUGAAUACAGUGGAUGCCCCUGCCCCACCCAGGGCAGAGCCCGGCCCCAAGGAGGAGAGGCGGAGUGAGUGCCAGACAGCGUCCCUGGUCCCUGGCGCUGGGGCUGAGUCUCUCUGGGGUGCUGAGCUCUCCGAUGUGGAUUCUUAGAGCAGGAGGUCAUCCUGGUUUGCUCAGGUAACACUGUCCUUGACUUCCUUGGAGGGACAGUUGAAAUUUCCUCCAUUAAUUAUCGUCAGUUCACAAGAAAGUUUUGGUUUUUCUUUUAAGCUCAUUGUGGCUAUCAGAACUGCAAUAAGUUUCCUUGGCGUUUAAUGAAAUGAUGGCAGUGACUCACAGAGGUUAAACGCAUAGCAGAGCUUGCUAGUUUCCGGGAAGGCUGGCCCCUAGCGGGCUUAGUGGGCUUGACUGUGGCUAGGAGCCUGGAGAGAACGGCCCUGGGGCAGGGAGGGGAGCUCUUUAGUCGAUCCAUAGAGCUGAUGCGUGCAGGUGGGCAGCAUGAGGUGGCCACGGUGUCCAUUAUUUGUCCCUGAUGAUUAUCAUAUCCCCAACUCUGACCAGGUUCUUGGCACAUAGUGAGUGCUCAAUAAAUGUUUGUCGGAAGGAUAAAUGGAAGAGCUGGAUAGAACGUGGGACCUAAAGGUGGGAAACCUACUUCUCCUCUUGGGACUCUCAUGUAAACUGAGGUAGCUGGGCUGGUUGGUGUGUAAGGUCCCUGCAGCUCCUCUUUUAUGGUUCUGUGACGGUUUGGUUGCACAAUACCCUCCCCUACGCGGAGCUGUUGGGGCUAAAUGUCAUCCCUCUCCGGAGAUGUUUACAACAGGCCUUCUGAAGAGCAGCGCCAACCAGGGAGGAGCUCUCAUUCUGGAAAUUCAGAGCUAAAGGGGCCAGGAAAUUCACAGUCACGGACCUGAUUAGUUUUGUGGGGACAGAUUCUGAGCCAGAGUCCCAGUCAGCAGCCGGUAUCAGCGACUGCACCACAGGCCAUGUCUGGACGUCGUGAGCAGGACCAGGUUCUAGGCUGUGGUGGGGACGUGAGGUCGGGGAACCCAUCCUGAAAGGCAAUGCCCUCUCUGAGAGCCUCCCACACUGGCCACGCCCACGUGCCCUUCUAAAUUCACAUCUUCUCUUUAACAUAUUUCUACCUUCAGCAUCUGGGUGUCCUGACUGCCCCCAUGCCACGAGAGUCAUCGUAGAGCCAAAAACAUAUUUUUGAAGUACCAACUUAAAAUGGAAUUGUCAGUCAGUUUCUACAGUGAAGUUUUGAUGAAAAGAAGGAAGAUACUCUGGGCAAAGGAUCACACAGGAGGGUGGAUCUGAGUGAACAGUGUGUUGCAGAGACGCACAGAUUGAUUUUGUUUGUUUGGCUUUUAGUACCUACGCGGGUCCCAGCGCGGUACGGACACUCUCAAUUUCUCACUGCAACUCUGGAAAGCUAUGUUUAAAUUAUAACAUUUACUAGAUAUACACUAUAUGUUAUAAUAAAACUAUUUUAUUAUGCUUUUUCCUUUCUUAAUGGUCUGAGAUGAUUCAGAGAGGUUAUGUGACUGGCCCAAGGCUCCACACAGCCAGUCAGUGAGGAAGCAGGAUUCCAAG